GAUGAACGCUGGCGGCGUGCCUAAUACAUGCAAGUCGAGCGAACGGACGAGAAGCUUGCUUUUCUGAUGUUAGCGGCGGACGGGUGAGUAACACGUGGAUAACCUACCUAUAAGACUGGGAUAACUUCGGGAAACCGGAGCUAAUACCGGAUAAUAUUUUGAACCGCAUGGUUCAAAAGUGAAAGACGGUCUUGCUGUCACUUAUAGAUGGAUCCGCGCUGCAUUAGCUAGUUGGUAAGGUAACGGCUUACCAAGGCAACGAUGCAUAGCCGACCUGAGAGGGUGAUCGGCCACACUGGAACUGAGACACGAUCCAGACUCCUACGGGAGGCAGCAGUAGGGAAUCUUCCGCAAUGGGCGAAAGCCUGACGGAGCAACGCCGCGUGAGUGAUGAAGGUCUUCGGAUCGUAAAACUCUGUUAUUAGGGAAGAACAUAUGUGUAAGUAACUGUGCACAUCUUGACGGUACCUAGUCAGAAAGCCACGGCUAACUACGUG
rnacentral:rRNA from 1 species